UACGUAGGGCGCAAGCGUUGUCCGGAAUUAUUGGGCGUAAAGAGCUCGUAGGCGGUCUGUUGCGUCGGCUGUGAAAACCCGGGGCUCAACCCCGGGCCUGCAGCCGAUACGGGCAGACUAGAGUUCGGCAGGGGAGACUGGAAUUCCUGGUGUAGCGGUGAAAUGCGCAGAUAUCAGGAGGAACACCGGUGGCGAAGGCGGGUCUCUGGGAAUAUCCUGACGCUGAGGAGCGAAAGUGUGGGGAGCGAACAGG
rnacentral:rRNA from 1 species